GUUCUUGCUGUGAUCUGGAAGGAAAUAUGAGCAAGCUUUCAAAGGUAGUUGCAUUUGUGGAAGUCGUUCAGUUUGAUUUAUUGGCAUAAAACCAAAAGCCAGAUUCUCCUUCAGGUCUCUCUCUCAAAACUGACUAGCCUGAAAUUAAGGCCACAUGCUAUUGAGAGUUGUUAUCUGUCAAAAUAUCAGGUUGUUUAUAUCUGCUGAUUUCAUGUUAUGCAUAGUAAGUGGGUUGUUUACAUAUGCUGA
rnacentral:lncRNA from 1 species